rnacentral:sRNA from 1 species
AUCUUCCCCAUCGGGAGAAGGUGAGAAGCUUCGACAAGGUUCGAGUCGAGCAGCGCGAGACAACGUGCGCAGCACGGCCCGCAGGGUGAGGAGCGCAGCGACGAGUCAUCCUUCUCCCACCACCA